UACGUAGGUGGCAAGCGUUGUCCGGAAUGACUGGGCGUAAAGGGUACGUAGGCGGCUAUUCAAGUUAGUAGUGAAAUCCCGGGGCUCAACUCCGGUGCUACUGCUAAGACUGUUUAGCUUGAGUGCAGGAGAGGUAAGUGGAAUUCCUAGUGUAGCGGUGGAAUGCGUAGAUAUUAGGAGGAACACCAGUGGCGAAGGUGACUUACUGGACUGUAACUGACGCUGAAGUACGAAAGCGUGGGGAGCAAAC
rnacentral:rRNA from 1 species